rnacentral:rRNA from 1 species
CGGAAGGGGCAAGCGUUGUUCGGAAUUAUUGGGCGUAAAGGGCGCGUAGGUGGUUCUGUAUGUCUACCGUGAAAGCGUACGGCUCAACCGUAUUUUGUCGGUAGAAACUGCAGGACUUGAGGCUGGGAGGGGCUGGUGGAAUUCCCUGUGUAGCGGUGAAAUGCGUAGAGAUGGGGGAGAACACUCGUGGCGAAGGCGGCCAGCUAGACCAGUUCUGACACUGAGGCGCGACAGCGUGGGGAGCAAAUAGGAUUAGAUACCCUGGUAGUCCACGCUGUAAACGAUGGGCACUAGGUGCCGGCGGUCUUGAUCCCGUCGGUGCCGGCGCUAACGCAGUAAGUGCCCCGCCUGGGGAGUACGGUCGCAAGGCUG